GCAGGGGACCUUCGGGCCUUGCGCUAUCAGAUGAGCCUAGGUCGGAUUACCUAGUUGGUGGGGUAAUGGCUCACCAAGGCGACGAUCCGUAACUGGUCUGAGAGGAUGAUCAGUCACACUGGAACUGAGACACGGUCCAGACUCCUACGGGAGGCAGCAGUGGGGAAUAUUGGACAAUGGGCGAAAGCCUGAUCCAGCCAUGCCGCGUGUGUGAAGAAGGUCUUCGGAUUGUAAAGCACUUUAAGUUGGGAGGAAGGGCAGUAACCUAAUACGUUGCUGUCUUGACGUUACCGACUGAAUAAGCCCCGGCUAACUCUGUGCCAGCAGCCGCGGUAAUACAGAGGGUGCAAGCGUUAAUCGGAAUUACUGGGCGUAAAGCGCGCGUAGGUGGUUUGUUAAGUUGGAUGUGAAAUCCCCGGGCUCAACCUGGGAACUGCAUUCAAAACUGACAAGCUAGAGUAUGGUAGAGGGUGGUGGAAUUUCCUGUGUAGCGGUGAAAUGCGUAGAUAUAGGAAGGAACACCAGU
rnacentral:rRNA from 1 species